ensembl:lncRNA
UGACAAGUCACUUUGUAUAAGUGCUGAUUUGAUACAUUUAUAUAUUGCAAAAUAAUUAGCUAACACCUCCACCGUGUCACAUAAUUACCAUUUCUUUUUUGUAGUGAAAAUACUUAAGAUCUACUCUCUUAGCAACAUUCAAGUAUGUAAUGCAGUAUUAUUAGCUAUAAUCACCAUGCUAUACAUUAGAUUCCCCCGAACUUAUUAAUUUUAUAACUGGGAAGUUUGUACCCUUUGACCUCUGUCUCCCCAUUUCUUCCACCCCCCCCAACCCCCCAAACCCCUGGUAACCACCACUCUACUGUCUGUUUGGCUGAGUUUGGCUUUGUUAAGAAGAAAACCACAGCCCAAAAUGGCAUCACUUGUGCCAAAAGCCCAUGAUACCAAACCUAGAUUUAAUACCUGAUCUAAUUGCAGUUUUAACUUUUCCCAGAAAUGUAAUCUUAACCAACCAGUCUGGAAUUUUCUGGUCAGGCAGUAGUAAGGUGAUCUGUUGCAUAGGCCGUCUCCAUCCUCCAGAGGAAGAAGAGGUAAUCUGGGUGGUAAAACCCAUGCCAGUUCCCUCCCCAAGAAGAGGUCCUGGCCCAAACUAACCCUCUCUUUUCAUUUGCUAAUGACUUCCUUGGUCCACCCUUCUUCCUAUAAAAACCAUCCCUUUUGUACAACACCUGGGAGUGCCCUUCUACUUUCUAGAUGGAAUACUGCUCCAUUCAAGAAUUGCUUCAUAAAGUCAAUUAGAGCUUCAGAUUUACUUGGUUGAAUUUUGUUUUUAACAGGUUUUUUAGAUUCCACAGGUAAGUGACAGCACACAGUAUUUGUCUUUCUCUGACUUUCUUCGCUAGCAUCAUGCCCUCAAGUUUCACCCAACUUGUCACAAACUGCAAAAUUUCCUUCUUUCUCAUGGCUGAAUAGUAUUCCUAGAUAGAUAGAUAGGUAUUGGACAUGAAUAAGAAGAUGUGACAUAUAUGUGUCACAUCUUUAUUCAUUCAUCCAUUGAUGGACACUUAGGUUGUUUGCAUAUCUUGGCUCUUGUGAAUAAUGCUGCAGUGAACAUGGGAGUGCAGAUGUCCUCUCAGAUCCUGAUUUCAAUUCCUUUGGCGAUAUUCCCAGAAGUGGGAUUGCUGGACCAUAUGGCAGUUCUAUUUUUAAUUUUUAGGAACCUCCAUACUGUUUUCCCUGUGGCUCUAUCAAUUUGCGUUCCCACCAACAGUGCACAAGAGUACUCUUUUCUUCACACCCUUGCCAACGCUUGUUAUCUGUGGUCUUGUUUUUGGGGGGGGGAGGAGAGGGGGGAGAAGAUUAGCCCUGAGCUAACAUCUGCUGCCAAUUCUCCUCUUUUUGCUUAGGAAGACUGGCCCUGAGCUAACAUCCGUGCGCAUCUUCUUCUAUUUUAUAUGUGGGACACCUACCAUAGCACGGCUUGCCAAGCAGUGCCAUGUCCGCACCCGGGAUCCAAACUGGCGAACCCCGGGCCACCGAAGUGAAACGUGCGCACUUAACCUCUGUGCCACCAGGCUGGCCCCUUUCUUGUCUUUUUGAUGAUUACCAUUCUAACAGCUUUCCUAGGGAUGUAAUGACCUUCGGGAAAAAAAACCUCUGCUAUCUGUCCCUGGUGAAGAGAGAAAGGGAUGCUCUGUGGUCUCAAGGACUACAGCUCCAGAUGGUCAACGUCCCGAGACCUCCCCUUUUCCAGCCCAUUUGCCCUAUAAAACUGCCUCACAAUUUUGUAGUUUUAAGAUGGUUCUUUAGGACACGAGUCCACCAUCUUCUCCCUUGCUGGCAGGGUGUAAUAAAAAGGCCUUUUCUCUCCUACCACCUUGCCUCCUGACUGUUGGCCUGUCUAGUGGUGAGUAGAGGACCCUCUUUGGGGGUUACAGAAACACAAAGCUUGCUUACCCCAAAGAACUUUUUAUCUAUAGGAUUUUAUUAUUAUUCUUACCUUAUAUAGUGUUUUGAGGACAAAAAAAAAAAGCGAGAGCAUUGUUGGGAGUUUUAUUUUUGUG